rnacentral:misc_RNA from 1 species
GUUAGAAGUAUGAUUUACUGAUCAUGCUAGCCUUAAUUCAUGCAAAAUUACCAAGGAUAAUUUAUAAAUAAGUUUUUAGAGGUUAUUGAAAUUAUUAUCUUUCAAGAGUUUACUUUGUAUUUUCUUUUAAAUUCUAUGAAAAGUUGAGCUUGUUAGGGCUUGAUCUUAUCAUACAAACCUUGAUUUGCUUUCAUUAAAUUAUGUAUGAACACUAUUCAUGCAGUUCCAAUGUAUACCUUAUUGUAAUACAUGCCAACUGUUCUCUACUAAUAUGUCUUUUAU